rnacentral:lncRNA from 1 species
CGAACUUACUCACAACGCUGAACUUCCUGCCUAGUGGACCACAUUUUCCAAGACCUGUUACUGCGUGAUGUGUCUUUUUCCCUCUGCUCUGUAAUGCCAGCUCUAUCAUGCAGCGACUCCCUUAUAUAUGUAGCGCUUCUUCAAACUUUCCAUUUUGCUGGUCUCUCCUAUGCUUAUGCUUUGUAAUAUGGGUUGCUGUCUGAUAGAGCUAGUCCUUCUUUGCUUUUCUUUUGCAGAAUUCCCUUGGCUAUUUGUGGACUUUUACUCUUCUUUAUAAGUUUUUAGAAUUAAUCUUUCCACUUGAAAAAUCAUCUUGAAUUCAAGUUCCGGGGAUCUAAGGUACGGCAGAAUAUCUAUACAUAGGAUGGCAACGUGCCUACCUAGAGUUUCCCCGCUUGUUGGCAGAUGCAGUCACAUGACACAGUCCUGCUCAGUGAGAUCUGAGUGGACACCACGGAUGCCUGUCUCAGCUUCCUGAAGCCUGUCACUCCUGUGAUUAAGUUACAUUGUAAAGAAUCUGUCUUAGUGGACCGGAGGAGAGAUUCUCCUGCUGGCCUUGCAGAAGCAAGCUCCGUGUUGUCUGAGGGCCAUGUAGCAGAGAACUGUGGUCAACCUCUAAGAGCUGAGAGUGGCCCUUGGUUGACAGCCAGCAAGAAAGCGGAGACCUCAGUCCCACAAAUGCGAGAAACUGAAUUCUGCCAAUAACCCCAUGAGCUUAGAAGAGAAAG